AUACGGAGGGGGCUAGCGUUGUUCGGAAUUACUGGGCGUAAAGCGUACGUAGGCGGACUGAUCAGUUGGGGGUGAAAUCCCAGGGCUUAACCCUGGAACUGCCUUCAAUACUGUCAGUCUUGAGAUUGGAAGAGGUGAGUGGAAUUCCUAGUGUAGAGGUGAAAUUCAUAGAUAUUAGGAGGAACACCAGUGGCGAAGGCGGCUCACUGGUCCAAUACUGACGCUGAGGUACGAAAGCGUGGGAAGCAAACAGGAUUAGACACCCUAGUAGUCC
rnacentral:rRNA from 1 species